CAGCCGCCACGGUAAUACGUAGGGUGCAAGCGUUAAUCGGAAUUACUGGGCGUAAAGCGUGCGCAGGCGGUUAUAUAAGACAGAUGUGAAAUCCCCGGGCUCAACCUGGGAACUGCAUUUGUGACUGUAUAGCUAGAGUACGGCAGAGGGGGAUGGAAUUCCGCGUGUAGCAGUGAAAUGCGUAGAUAUGCGGAGGAACACCGAUGGCGAAGGCAAUCCCCUGGGCCUGUACUGACGCUUAUGCACGAAAGCGUGGGGAGCAAACAGGAUUAGAUACCCGGGUAGUCCCUGUCUCUUAUAC
rnacentral:rRNA from 1 species